AGCGAACGCUGGCGGCAGGCCUAACACAUGCAAGUCGAGCGCCCCGCAAGGGGAGGCGGCAGACGGGAGAGUAACACGUGGGAACGUACCCUUUGGUUCGGAACAACCCAGGGAAACUUGGGCUAAUACCGAAUAAGCCCUUACGGGGAAAGGAUUUAUCGCCGAAGGAUCGGCCCGCGUCUGAUUAGCUAGUUGGUGAGGUAACGGCUCACCAAGGCGACGAUCAGUAGCUGGUCUGA
rnacentral:rRNA from 1 species